rnacentral:rRNA from 1 species
GAUGAACGCUGGCGGCGUGCCUAAUACAUGCAAGUCGAGCGAACGGACGAGAAGCUUGCUUCUCUGAUGUUAGCGGCGGACGGGUGAGUAACACGUGGAUAACCUACCUAUAAGACUGGGAUAACUUCGGGAAACCGGAGCUAAUACCGGAUGAUAUUUUGAACCGCAUGGUUCAAAAGUGAAAGACGGUCUUGCUGUCACUUAUAGAUGGAUCCGCGCUGCAUUAGCUAGUUGGUAAGGUAACGGCUUACCAAGGCAACGAUGCAUAGCCGACCUGAGAGGGUGAUCGGCCACACUGGAACUGAGACACGGUCCAGACUCCUACGGGAGGCAGCAGUAGGGAAUCUUCCGCAAUGGGCGAAAGCCUGACGGAGCAACGCCGCGUGAGUGAUGAAGGUCUUCGGAUCGUAAAACUCUGUUAUUAGGGAAGAACAUAUGUGUAAGUAACUGUGCACAUCUUGACGGUACCUAAUCAGAAAGCCCCGGCUAACUACGUGCCCACAGCCGCGGUAAUACGUAAGUGGCAAGCGUUAUCCCGAAUUAUUGGGCGUAAGCGCGCGUAGGCGGUUUUUUAGUCUGAUGUGAAAGCCCACGGCUCAACCGUGGAGGGUCAUUGGAAACUGGAAAACUUGAGUGCAGAAGAGGAAAGUGGAAUUCCAUGUGUAGCGGUGAAAUGCGCAGAGAUAUGGAGGAACACCAGUGGCGAAGGCGACUUUCUGGUCUGUAACUGACGCUGAUGUGCGAAAGCGUGGGGAUCAAACAGGAUUAGAUACCCUGGUAGUCCACGCCGUAAACGAUGAGUGCUAAGUGUUAGGGGGUUUCCGCCCCUUAGUGCUGCAGCUAACGCAUUAAGCACUCCGCCUGGGGAGUACGACCGCAAGGUUGAAACUCAAAGGAAUUGACGGGGACCCGCACAAGCGGUGGAGCAUGUGGUUUAAUUCGAAGCAACGCGAAGAACCUUACCAAAUCUUGACAUCCUUUGACAACUCUAGAGAUAGAGCCUUCCCCUUCGGGGGACAAAGUGACAGGUGGUGCAUGGUUGUCGUCAGCUCGUGUCGUGAGAUGUUGGGUUAAGUCCCGCAACGAGCGCAACCCUUAAGCUUAGUUGCCAUCAUUAAGUUGGGCACUCUAAGUUGACUGCCGGUGACAAACCGGAGGAAGGUGGGGAUGACGUCAAAUCAUCAUGCCCCUUAUGAUUUGGGCUACGCACGUGCUACAAUGGACAAUACAAAGGGCAGCGAAACCGCGAGGUCAAGCAAAUCCCAUAAAGUUGUCCUCAGUUCGGAUUGUAGUCUGCAACUCGACUACAUGAAGCUGGAAUCGCUAGUAAUCGUAGAUCAGCAUGCUACGGUGAAUACGUUCCCGGGUCU